AUAAGGAAAUGGACGAUUGCUCUUACUCGAUAUAUCGAUAUUUCGAAAUUACGAGUGGGGGAGGAAAGUCCGGACACCAACUUGAUAUAUCGAUAUUUCGAAAUGUCGAGUGAAAAGCGUACGGGUUAACGGCCCGCCGCGGAAUUAAUAACGCGAGAGGUGCGAACAGAGACGUUAUAGCCCGAAAGGGUCAUAGCUCCAAUGAAAAUUGGAUGAUGCCGAUGGUAACAUCGGAUUGAAACGGCUAAAUCCUUACUGGGUGCAACCUCGUUAUGAGGGCUAGAACCUCGCAGCAAUGCGGGGUCCAGAGAGAUAAUCGUUCCCCGCAGUUGCGGGGACAGAAUCCGGCUUAUAGUUUCCUUUAUGAG
rnacentral:RNase_P_RNA from 3 species